GUUAGGAAGGCAGGGACCCAAUCCAUUCUGCUCCUAACCCCAUCAUGGGCAACAGACUCUUUUGCUGUAUCUCCCUUUUUCUCUUUGGAGCAGCCCCAACUGAAGCAAAGAUCACUCAGACACCCAGAUUCAUGGUCACAAGGGUGAAGCAAAAGGUGACACUGAAAUGUAAACAACAUUUGAACCAUGAUUUCAUGUACUGGUAUCAACAGGAGUCACAGAAAGGACCCAAGCUAAUGUUUUAUUACGCUUAUCAAAAGAUGGAGUUAAAUGAAACUGUUCCUCAGCGCUUCAAUGCUACAUCACCAGAGAAAAGCCAGUUGCACCUCAACAUCGAUGGUGUGGAGACAGAGGACUCAGCCACCUACUUCUGUAGCAGCAGCAAAGACACAGCCUUGCAGAGUCACCUCCAAGCUGUGCAGAAACCUACUGGCCCUGGCAUAGGAACAAAGGAGGGAGGGAAGUCACUGCAUGAGAGAUUUGGCUCACACUGGGAGGUUCUAGAGGGAGGAGGGAUUGUCAAACCCCACAGACCUUUGAUGGUGGCUGAAGCCACCACUGUGGAGCUUUUAGAACUUCGUCAGACACUGAAGAUGCCAAGGUCAUCCUCUGCAGCCUGA